rnacentral:tRNA from 1 species
UUGGGCGUGGCCAAGUGGUAAGGCAACGGGUUUUGGUCCCGCUAUUCGGAGGUUCGAAUCCUUCCGUCCCAG